AGCGAACGCUGGCGGAAUGCUUAACACAUGCAAGUCGCACGCCCUGCAAGGGGAGUGGCGGACGGGUGAGUAACGCGUAGGAAUAUGUCCAGAGGAGGGGGACAACCCUGGGAAACUGGGGCUAAUACCGCAUAUGGGCUGAGGCCCAAAGCAGUGAUGCGCCUUUGGAGUAGCCUGCGUCCGAUUAGCUUGUUGGUGGGGUAAAGGCUUACCAAGGCGACGAUCGGUAGCUGGUCUGAGAGGACGACCAGCCACACUGGGACUGAGACACGGCCCAGACUCCUACGGGAGGCGGCAGUGGGGAAUAUUGGACAAUGGGCGCAAGCCUGAUCCAGCAAUUCCGCGUGGGUGAAGAAGGUCUUCGGAUUGUAAAGCCCUUUCGACGGGGACGAUGAUGACGGUACCCGUAGAAGAAGCCCCGGCUAACUUCGUGCCAGCCGCCGCGGUAA
rnacentral:rRNA from 1 species